AUAUCCCUGCCGUGCACGUUGGAAGUUUGAUGAUUGGUGAGCCAACACCACAUUAAAGGGAGUCAGAAGCUUCCGUGGUGCUGAGGCACUGCGGAGCAGACACCCACCUGUACCCAAAGCGGUUCAGCCCAUCAUUCCCAACGGCACAGUGCGGGGAUUUU
rnacentral:other from 1 species